rnacentral:rRNA from 1 species
GACGAACGCUGGCGGCGUGCUUCAUACAUGCAAGUCGAACGAGAAGCUGACUUCGGUCUGUGGAAAGUGGCGGACGGGUGAGUAAUAUGUAGGAAAUCUGCCUUUAGGAGGGGGACAACAGAGGUAAACUUCUGCUAAUACCCCCUAUGAGCGUAGCUGAAAUGCUAUUCUUGAAAACUCCGGUGCCUACAGAUGAGCCUGCAUCUGAUUAGCUAGUUGGUAGUGUAAUGGACUACCAAGGCGACGAUCAGUAGCUGGUUUGAGAGGAUGAUCAGCCACAAUGGGAGUGAGACACGGCCCAUAAUCCUACGGGAGGCGGCAGUAGGGAAUUUUGCGCAAUGGGCGAAAGCCUGACGCAGCACCGCCGCGUGAACGAUUAAGCCCUUCGGGGUGUAAAGUUCUGUCAGUGGGGACGAAACUUGACGGUACCCACAGAGGAAGCACCGGCUAACUCCGUG